rnacentral:tRNA from 1 species
GGAGAGGUGGCAGAGCGGUUGAAUGCACCGGUCUUGAAAACCGGCGUUGGAGCGAUCCGACCGUGGGUUCGAAUCCCACCCUCUCCGCCA